rnacentral:lncRNA from 1 species
CUUGCUAGCUCUGCGAGUAUACUGCACUGGAAAUUUAGAUAAAGCUUACUGUCCUGUCCAUUGAUGUGUUCAUAAGCAGUAAGGUGGAGAGAGUGCCUCUAAGUAUUUAUUAAGCAAACAGUUGUGAAACUAUUACAAAAA